AGUGCUGAGAAGUCCUCCUUUUUCGUUGAAUACUGUACUUCAGGACCUGAAGAAGAGACGAGGGAUAGAAGAGAAGACAGGAUACAAAAUGGCCUGCCUUUAGGAGGGAGGGAGGCUGUGCAAGCACUGAAUAUUUACACUAAAGUUUUGGCACUCAAUUUAAUCCAAUCGCUUCAAAAGCAGAAAAUGUAGCAGUGUGCCAAAAUGUUUUUCCCUUUUUGCUCAGUUUAAUUUUUACUACCUAUGUUUCAUAUGUAGCACAUAAAACAUCAUAUUAUUAUGUUGUUAAAAUGCGUGUCUUGAAGAAUUGCUGUGCAGUUUUCAAAAAUAUAUUGUUUGUUUGUAAAAGUGGUCAUAUGAUAUCCUUGUUCAGGUAUAAUUGAUAGUUAUAAAUGUAGAUUAUUUCUAAAUCAGGGUUUUUGAGAGUAUCUCAUCAAAGAAUCAGUUGUUUCUAUUGUGUGGCUUUUUGCAGUGUUCAUUGGUAGUACAUAGUUUGAAGCCCUAUUAUUCCAAAUCUGGUCUUUAGGGUGGGGUCAAUUCUAUUUCAUUGAUGAAGUAAACAAAGUUUCAAAUUCCAAUUUUCCCCAAUGCUUUUCAAUGAGAGAAAAUAUUUGGAAUUUUUGUUUAUUUCCUGAAUUGACUGAAUUUGAAUGUAAUUGACCCAACGCUACACUAAGGUCAUACUGUCAAUCAGAAUGACUUAUAUGUUACAUGACCUAACUAGAUAAAAGUUUACAUGCAAAUCAUAUAUUAUUAUUAAGUUUUCCUACUGCGAAAGGGAAAGAACCUGCCAAAGUUUCAACAUUUGUCUUAUUUUUAUGGAAAAAUUAUUAAAUGACUAGGGCUUAUUCAUGGCAUAAGUUAGAAAUUAUUGGAAAAAGUUAGAAUAUAUGAGUUCCCAUUUUUCAGUAUUAAUUAUUAUUAUGCCGCCCUAAAAUCAGUUGGUUUCCUUUAACUUAUUUAUAAUGUGGUCCAGUUUGACCAGAGUAGCCUAUGCUCUCAGAUGUGUUGUAACCACUGGGCACUUUGCAAACAUAAAUAUGUGAAUCAACAAUUUGCCUCUUAUUGUGUGUUGAAUUCAUGUUGAGCAUGACAUGGCACUAUAUAGAUUAAAGACGAAAGUUACACUGCAUGUAACUGUAUAAAAGUUUGAAGUGUAUCUUUGUAUAUUUCCUUGUAAAAAUUACAGUAACUUAUUUUUUUGUUCAGGUUUUUGUGGUUGUAUGGAUAUCCAAAGUGGCAUUUUCUGUGCAUUGUUAUGUAAAUACUUUUAAAAUGUUGUUUUUGGAUACAAAGGUUGCAAAACUGAGCCUAAUUAAAAAUAUACCUGUAUAUUUUGUAUUGUGUCUCUGAAAAAGGCAAUCAUUUGCUAAAAAAUAUAUAUUGGGUUAAAUAAAAAAUGACUUAUUAUUUUCAUAAUUGCAUAUUAUGUGCCCAUUCAUUUUCCUCCAUAUGUCCACAUUGUCAC
ensembl:lncRNA